AGCACAUGAGUGCCUGUGUGUGCAUACCUGGUAUGUGCGUGCACGUGAGUGAGUGUGCAUAUAGGUGUGGAAGUAUAUUAGUUAAAACACUGUGGGUGUGUGUCUCUUCCUAGGGGCCA